CUAGUAGGAGGUCAGCCUAAUUCUCGUGGCCAUCUGUGGACUCCUGUGAUGUGCUGUGAACAGUCCAUUCCAUUCAUACUGACAUUGAUAUACUUUCCAUUCUAUGGCUGGCAGUGAAAUGAAUUUCAAAACUGCAGUAUGAAGCAUUCUUCAGAGACCUCCUUGCCAGCCAGGUGGGUUUUACAGAAGCACAUCUUAGCCUGCAAAUUUGAUGAAGCUGUCCCUGUGUUCUUCCAGGUUUUUUCAAUAAAGUUUAGUGGGAGAUAAAAGGAGGAAGGGGGAGUAAAACAGCUGAACAGGAAUCCAUCUAUUCCUUCUACCAGAGGAAUAUGACCAGAGAAAUAAAAUAAGAAAGCAUAGCACCUGGCCUAAUCUUUCUGUCAAUUGGACUUCCAAAUAAAUAGCAUAAACAUAUUUGCUGACAGAAAAAUACUCUAUCUGUAAAAUGCUGUUAAUUAAAUAUCACUGGCUUAAGAAUGAUAUCAAGUAAAUAAGACCCAUGACCUAUGACUCAAUGAGGCAUGGCUCCCUGGCAAAUCUCACUUGAGAUAUGUAGUUCUACCCAGUGUAAAAUUGAGAUGCUUUAUAAUGUAAAUGUUCCCCAAUAUGUGAUGAACUCCACAAACCUCAAUUAGAGGCCCCACCUAUUCUGGGCCAGAGAUUCAUAUCUAAUGGGUGAAGGAAGAACCUGGGGAGCCCCUGGAUGUUCCAGACUUCCCUUUGCUUUGUCAGAGAAUAUUGAUCAUCCUAUUCUUAAAAUUAUUUAGUAAAUUUUGAUACUGAUUAGUAUCUAUAAUCGGUAUGUGAAUUGAUAACCAAAUCAGCAUGUAGAUGACAGCAUGUAUUCCAAUUUUUAAAAACGUGUUUUAUUUUGUUUUUGAGAGACAGAGCAUAAGUAAGGGAGGGGC